AAGAAAAAUGAAACUUAGGCGCCGCCCCCGACUAGAUCUAGCCCAAAUCCCCUUCUGCUCCGACCCCAGACCCCGCCGACCACCUUCCAUCGCCCGACCCUAGCCGCCGCGGACCCCAGAACCUGCUGACUACCCUCCACCGUGCGACCCCAGCUGCCCCGACCACCCAUCGCAGCAGCCUCCUCCCGGACCACCAUUGCCGCCGAGGUAUCCUGCCGCCGGGCACCUUCCUCUACCGCGCGGCGUCAAAUACCCUCCUCCGCAGAUCUCGUCCGCCCUCUGCCGCAUCCCCGGCGCCGCCUAAAUGUCGCCUCUCCGCCUCGCUUUCUCCCCAGACAGCACCGUCUCCUUGGCAUCUCUCCUGAACUGCCGAGAUGAGGCGUAUGCGGACUAGGGUUUGGCGCCGCCUGCCCUCCUGGUCGAUCUCCUCCGGCCAGUGCUCCUCUGCCCCUGGUCGACCUCGACGUCGUGCUUCCCAGUCCAUCGUCCUUUGUCCAUGCUCCCCCCAGUUCGUGCUCCUCAGGUCUCCCCCUCUUGUACUUCCAGCCCGAGAAACACAGGUCAACAGAUGUUUGUCUCAAAACGACAGGUAAUACCAUCAUGCCAAAUCUUCUUCCUCUGAUUUGAAGAAAAUAGCAGAGCGCUCAGACUAUAGCUCUAGCGACAGUUGCCGCUUUGUCUUACUGAAUGAAUCAUCUUUUGAUGGUGCUCAAGUCAUGGGCAUAGAUGCAUCUAACCAAAUAAUACUUGCUUCUGGAAGGCACCUGGUGUAGGUGGAGAACAUGUUCUUAGAGAGUUGCAGGUCUUUGUAUAUUUCCACAAUUAUGGAGGGCGUGGUUUAGCUGCGUUUUUCAGAGCAUUGCAAGUUUGGUGACUCUUCUGGGGGAGACAUGUGGCUCUUUUUGAAUGAUGGCGUUUCAUAGGAUGGUGGCAAGUCUGGUAUUUAAAAGACAUUUCAUGAAGCUUAAGGGAGUCCUGGAUUAGGGGGUGUCCGGAUAGCCGGAACUAUACCUUCGGCCGGACUCCUGGGCUAUGAAGAUACAAGAUUGAAGACUUCGUCCCGUGUCCGGAAGGGACUUUCCUUGGCGUGGAA